GUUCCCCUAGAAGCUCCUGCUACAGAGGAACCAGGACUUCGAAGAGCCUAUCAUGUACCUCCUGAUCUUCCUUAAGGACCACAUCAUUCUUGUUCGGAGAUAGAUUGGGAGCGGUCCAGAUCUAAUCGAAGCCCUACGGGUGGUCAGUAGCAAUAUAAAAGAAUUUAUUCUUCCACCUAUGGAUAGAAGAAGAAAGACCC
rnacentral:lncRNA from 1 species